rnacentral:rRNA from 1 species
CAGCCGCCGCGGUAAAACAGAGGGUGCGAGCGUUAAUCGGAUUUACUGGGCGUAAAGCGUGCGUAGGCGGCUUCUUAAGUCGGAUGUGAAAUCCCUGAGCUUAACUUAGGAAUUGCAUUCGAUACUGGGAAGCUAGAGUAUGGGAGAGGAUGGUAGAAUUCCAGGUGUAGCGGUGAAAUGCGUAGAGAUCUGGAGGAAUACCGAUGGCGAAGGCAGCCAUCUGGCCUAAUACUGACGCUGAGGUACGAAAGCAUGGGGAGCAAACAGGAUUAGAUACCCGGGUAGUCCCUGUCUCUUAUAA